UCCAGUCGCUGCCUUUUAGGUAGAGGAAAGUCCGGGCUCCGUAGGGCAGGAUGCUGGAGAAAUUCCAGUGAGCGCGAGCUCAAGGAUAGCGCCACAGAAAAUAUACCGCCUCUUGUGUGAGGUAAGGGUGAAAAGGCGGGGUAAGAGCCCACCAGCCGGCGGGUGACCGUCGGGCUUGGCAAGCCCCAUCCGGAGCAAGGCCGAAUAGGGGGGGAUGACGUGGCCCGCGGACCCCCGGGUACGGCCGCUUGAGCGCCUCCGCAAGGAGUGCGUCAGAGAAAUGACUGGACUUAGACAAAA
rnacentral:RNase_P_RNA from 1 species